rnacentral:tRNA from 1 species
AAAAACUUAGGUUAUAAGACCAGGAGCCUUCAAAGCCCCAAGCAGAAGUAAAAUCCCUCUAGUUUUUG